rnacentral:misc_RNA from 1 species
GCCCGGCAUUAUUAAAUAAACCUCCGAGUGGAGUGGCGCGCCGAGCGUCGCGCCGCGGGCACAGCACCGCAGCACGCGGCGGGCCCGCGCACCGCUCGCGGCUCGCCGCCCGCCAUGGCCGACAUGCCGGACCUCUCGCACCUCACGCCCGAGGAGCGCGCCAUCAUCGAAGGCGUCAUGAUGCGACAGCGCCAGGAGGAGCAGCGCGAGCACGAGAUCAUGAGACGUAAGCAAGAUGAAGUCACAGUGCUGGAGCAGACGAUCCGGACUCGCAAUGAGAUGCACCGCGCCGCCGGCGUAGAGCUCGCAGCCACCUGCCACAUCUGCCUCAAGACUAAGUUCGCGGACGGCGUCGGCCACUCGUGCCAUUACUGCCGAGUGAGGUGCUGCGCUCGGUGCGGGGGCAAAGUUACUCUCCGUUCUAACAAGGUUAUUUGGGUAUGUAUACUGUGCCGUAAGAAACAAGAGUUAUUAUCAAAAACUGGACAAUGGAUCCACAAAAGUGCUGGCCAGGACUCAAUGUUAUGGCGUAUGGAAAAUGAUCUAAGAGGUCUGCCACCACAGCCAGACGGAUCAUUUGAUAAAAGACCAAAACUAGAACGGGCACACAGCGCCGCAGAGAAAGAAAAUCUGCCACUUCAGAGAUCUGGCAGCGCUCUCCGUCGCCAGUACAGUCAACAAGAGCAAAGGUGUUACGGUGAACUUGAAGGAUUGGCUAGAACUCAUCCGCAUCUAGUACACCCGAGACAAAAGGCUGCAUACGGGGUGGUCGAGACGGGGGUAACUCCCUCCACCCAGUUGUUGCCGCUCACGCCAGCGUCACACCCCCUCCUCCCGCCUCGGUCUUCCUCUUCGGAUGACGAAGUUCCCGAGUGUGUUUCCGACGAAAACGACGAGUAUCGUGAUCGCGGACAACUAGAGGCAUGUGCUCCAGUUCGGCACCCGCAUCUGCGUAGCGCCAACGUGGCCGCCAACAAUUAUUACAAUUUGAUUAAUCAUUCGCCGGCCGAUUACGAGGCAGAGGCGCGCGGUCCAUUCGACGUGGCCAGGACCGGACCGUCAGGUGGACGCAGUUUCGAUUCUGUGACCGACUGCCGGUGGCGGGCCCGCGACGAUGGCGAAGGUGCGUAUCUACGCCCGUACGCACCAGAAGAGGGCCCGCGCCCAGAUCGAGCUGUGUAUAAGAGUGCCUAUUUGUGGGAGGACUCCUCAGACAAUAGACGGUUCACUGAGAGGAGAAAAAAGACCGUUCGCUUUGACGGGCACGAAGGCGCCGCGACGUUCCCGCGCGGCGGCCGCGACGCGUCUGGCGCGCCACACGACUGGGCCGCGCUACGCUGGGAGCCCGAACGCCAGACCAGCCAGGACUCCGCCACCAAAGACUCGGGCAUCGAUACCUCUAGCACCUUCACCUCCAGUGAAGAUUCGAACAGAGGCGAUUGCCCUAAGUUCCCGCUGAGCUGGCAGGUGUCCGCGGACGGCACUCGCAUGAUCGGUCACAUGGUGCUCCGGAAGAGCGUCGUGGAAGGGAGCUCACACUCUUCAGCGGCUAUCCUCGGUCUGAAGGUGGUGGGAGGGAAACUGCUCCCGGACGGCACGAGGGUCGCGGUGGUGGAAAAGGUCAAAAAAGGUUCCAUUGCUGACUUAGAAGGACAGCUUAGAAUAGGUGACGAGGUCCUGCAAUGGAACGGGGUGCCUCUCCAAGGGCGGAGCGCGGACGAGGUGGCGGCGGUUGUAGCUGACAGUAAGCACGACUUGCACGUGGAGUUAGUGGUAUCCCGGCCGCUGACUGCCACGCGCACACCCGCUGUGCCGUGGAGAACACACAAAGAAGUAUACACGGAAGUGAUGGGGGGUUGCGAGAAGCCCAGCGUCCUGGUGACGUCACCGGGCUCCCCUGACGUGCACUCGCGGCGCCGACCCGCUAGAUACAACCACCAUAACGCUAAUGUUGCUGGACGCAUUCAGCUGAAAAUAUACUUCGACGUGACCGCAACGCAGCUGUGUGUCACCGUAGUAUCAGCGAGCGGACUCACACCUCGGCCCGACGGUUCCCCUAGAUGCCCUUAUGCUAAAAUAUUCCUACUGCCCGAUAAAAGCGAGAAGAGCAAGCGAAGAACGAAAACCUUAGCCAACACAUUAGAACCGCGAUGGAAUCAAAACUUUAUUUAUUGCGGCAUUCGAAUUACCGACAUAAAGAGAAGAACUUUGGAGGUUACCGUGUGGGAUUUAAAUCGUUACGGCCCAAACGAUUUUCUCGGCGAAGUCCUUCUGGAUUUAGACACCAUUGUAAUGAACCAUGAACCUACAUGGUAUACGUUGAAACCACACGAGGAGAUGGGAAGCUUUAGCAGAUACCGCGAAGACGAGGCAGACGGCGAGCACCUGUCCCCGCCGUCGACGUCGACGUCACGGCUGUCGGACUCCGACACGCCGAGCGAGUGCGACCUGCGGCGCCACCACUCGCUGUCCAGCCUCGCGUCCAGCUCCAGUCCGCCGCCGCCGCAUGAUCGCAUGGACAUGGAGGGAGCGAGAUCCAACCGACGCGACAUGUCGCCGGCGGGCCGGGUUCGCGCUGCCGGGAUGAACAGAGAACGCAGCGGCGGGUACAGCGUGGCGCGCUCGCAGUCGGCGGCGGGCGUGGCGCGGCCGGCGCGGGCUCGCAGCAAGUCGCCGCGCCGCUCGCUGUCGCCGCCCGCCGACCGCGACGGCUGGCGCUACACAGUGAACGAGGACCGGGGAGACGGGUCGCGGUUACCGACGCACGCGUACGCGCCGCGCUUCCAGUCGCGCUCAGCCACGGCCACGCCCACCACCAGUCCCAAGAAACGUCAACUACCACAAAUACCUCAUCACCAGGGUGGGCAGAGAGCAGUACGCGCGCAAGUGUCGGCCGACCUGGAGGAACGUAAGUGGAUCGCCCCGCAUCACAUUGGCGCCACACUCACCUACCGCAGCACGCCACAAGGGUGGGAAAGACAUUACGCAGGACUGUCGGACUCCGAGCUGGCAGCGCGGAGCGGCGGAGGUGCGGGCGCAGGCGGCUGGGCCCCGCGGCGGCGCCUGUCGCCCGACAACGCCGCGCAGGACUCCGACCUCGAGUCCGUCGCGUCCGUCACCUCCAGCGCCUUCAGCACGCAGUCCGAACGACCUCGCCCUACCAGAAUGCUCAGUAAUGACUAUGGUGGACGGGAGAACGGACGCGGCAAUGGUAGCAAUCAACAGCAACAACCCCUAGAAAGACGAGAAUCACGUCGGGGUCAAUUUACUCGGAGUCUGAGUAACGCAGAUGUACCACCGGAUGAAAAAGCGGGUGUAACUUUUAACAAAGAUGGCAGCCUCAGCGAUACUGCUCUCGGCGGGGCGGGUGAAUUGGAACCUGCUAGUGACGACGUAUUACUGAAAGCGGAACCUCGCGACUACUUCGGCCCUGGUAUGGGCAAGAAAAGCAAUUCCACUUCGCAACUAUCAGCGACAGAUGGUCUCCUGGUAUGAGAGGCUCUGGUUCGGACGGAGGCGGCUUGUCAGACUUUAUCGACGGCUUAGGCCCAGGACAACUGGUCGGCAGACAGUUACUCGGCGCGCCGACGCAGGGUGACGUGCAACUGUCUAUGUGUUACCAGAAAGGAUUUCUCGAGGUGGAGGUAAUCCGUGCUCGUGGUCUGGUAUCUCAGCCGGGCAGACGGGCCCUACCUGCGCCGUACAUUAAAGUGUACCUAGUGAGCGGUAAGCGCUGCAUCGCCAAGGCAAAGACGAGCACGGCGCGCCGCACACUCGACCCACUUUAUCAACAAACGCUAACCUUUAGAGAAAACUUUAAAGGUUGCGUAUUACAGGUGACCGUGUGGGGCGACUAUGGACGCAUAGAGGGUAAAAAGGUGUUUAUGGGCGUGGCUCAAAUCAUGCUCGAUGACCUUAACCUCUCUAACAUCGUCAUAGGAUGGUACAAACUCUUCGGAACUACUUCAUUGUAACCAAGGUUCUACACUACCUUCAAGGGUUAGGCGAACCUAUAUCACAAUAAAAAAAUUAUAACUUGUCCAAAUAAUAAAUUUAGUGAUACUGCUUUAAUAUCAUGAUAAAACGCAAAAUAUCUUGAAUAUAGGAAAUUUUCUAUAAAACGAAAGGUAUAAAAUAAUAAUAAUAAUUUGUAUUUUUAUUUUCUUUUGGAAUGCCUACCGGAGUUUUGAAUAGAUAGCAUUUUAUAGCAAUGAAACAAAUGUAUAGUGUACUCAAUAAUAUGUAAUUAAGUAUUAAAAGCCAAAUGCAA